UGGAAAACAACUGCUGUGGCCAUUGUUCGGCCCACAGGCGUUUGGAGUGUUCAUGCAGAAAAGCCGAAAUUUCCCCUCGCAGGAAGUUCCUGGAAGGAAGUCGGUGCCCUGACGCUCAGCCACUCCUCGGACCGGAGAAAACAAAGGCAGAGCAGGCCUCUCUGCUGCAGACGGCCACAGCAUCCCACCGGAGGCGGCCGGGUGUUCAUGAGGAGGGCUGCUAAGCUUUCUUGGGAGGGAGGGUCUACAGAGCUGCAGGAGCCUCUUCCUUCGCACGUUUGGGGAAGGUGGUCGUUUUCUGCCACAUACUGAUCAGGAUCCAAACAUGAAACCAGCUGAAGACCUGAGGGAGACGGUGGGUGUACGCUGUUUACCACCCACCCCAACCUACCACCGUCCAGAUUCUUGGGGGAACUCGAGCCCUCUGCCGCUAGCAACAGCAGUCCCUGGUGGCCUGGCAACAGCAGCGACAGAAGAGUCUAUGUGGAAAGCCUUACACAGUGCAUCUUGACAUCCCACCCUGGAGGAGAAGGAAAUCAGAAUCCCAACCCGUGUCCCUCCACGGCCUCUCUUUCCCUCCUGCCGCCUAGCUGUGGACUUCUGUCUGCUCUUUCCCUCUUCCCAAAUUGGGGAGGUUUCUAAGCCUUGGUUGGUUUGUUUGGUUUUUUUUUUUUUUUCCCCCUGUAGUUAUGUCUUGUCUUGGGUGGAGAUUAACCAAUAAACUAUGCAGCUACAUUUACAA